rnacentral:misc_RNA from 1 species
AAACUGUGUUUGGAAGGAAGUGGUUCCCGUGCACAUGGUGAGCAAACUUGUCCAGAUCAGCAACUUCUCCAUGCUCCUUCUGAAGUUCUCUCCAGCUGGCUAACUCUAUACCUGAGUCACUCAAAACCAUUUUCUUUGCCCCAGUAAUUCCCAUAACACGGAGAUCAAUGUUGUAUUGUUCCUUUAGAACAGCUGCCUGAUCUCUUAGCUGGUCAAGAAGUGUGCCACCUAUCAAGCCUGGUCCAAUAAUACCCACAGCUAAUGCCGUUUUUGAGAGAUAAAAUCUUGAGUGAGCCGCCCUAAGAGCCCUUAUGCAGUCUUCUUGCUUCAAUACUACAGUAAUAUUGUACUCACUGCAACCUUGAG